UGCUUAACACAUGCAAGUCGAACGGAAAGGCCCUGCUUUUGUGGGGUGCUCGAGUGGCGAACGGGUGAGUAACACGUGAGUAACCUGCCCUUGACUUUGGGAUAACUUCAGGAAACUGGGGCUAAUACCGGAUAGGAGCUCCUGCUGCAUGGUGGGGGUUGGAAAGUUUCGGCGGUUGGGGAUGGACUCGCGGCUUAUCAGCUUGUUGGUGGGGUAGUGGCUUACCAAGGCUUUGACGGGUAGCCGGCCUGAGAGGGUGACCGGCCACAUUGGGACUGAGAUACGGCCCAGACUCCUACGGGAGGCAGCAGUGGGGAAUAUUGCACAAUGGGCGGAAGCCUGAUGCAGCAACGCCGCGUGCGGGAUGACGGCCUUCGGGUUGUAAACCGCUUUCGCCUGUGACGAAGCGUGAGUGACGGUAAUGGGUAAAGAAGCACCGGCUAACUACGUGCCAGCAGCCGCGGUGAUACGUAGGGUGCGAGCGUUGUCCGGAUUUAUUGGGCGUAAAGGGCUCGUAGGUGGUUGAUCGCGUCGGAAGUGUAAUCUUGGGGCUUAACCCUGAGCGUGCUUUCGAUACGGGUUGACUUGAGGAAGGUAGGGGAGAAUGGAAUNCCUGGUGGAGCGGUGGAAUGCGCAGAUAUCAGGAGGAACACCAGUGGCGAAGGCGGUUCUCUGGGCCUUUCCUGACGCUGAGGAGCGAAAGCGUGGGGAGCGAACAGGCUUAGAUACCCUGGUAGUCCACGCUGUAAACNGNUGGGUACUAGGUGUGGGGUCCAUUCCACGGGUUCCGUGCCGUAGCUAACGCUUUAAGUACCCCGCCUGGGGAGUACGGCCGCAAGGCUAAAACUCAAAGGAAUUGACGGGGCCCCGCACAAGCGGCGGAGCAUGCGGAUUAAUUCGAUGCAACGCGUAGAACCUUACCUGGGUUUGACAUGGAUCGGGAGUGCUCAGAGAUGGGUGUGCCUCUUUUGGGGUCGGUUCACAGGUGGUGCAUGGCUGUCGUCAGCUCGUGUCGUGAGAUGUUGGGUUAAGUCCCGCAACGAGCGCAACCCUUGUUCACUGUUGCCAGCACGUUAUGGUGGGGACUCAGUGGAGACCGCCGGGGUCAACUCGGAGGAAGGUGGGGAUGACGUCAAGUCAUCAUGCCCCUUAUGUCCAGGGCUUCACGCAUGCUACAAUGGCUGGUACAGAGAGUGGCGAGCCUGUGAGGGUGAGCGAAUCUCGGAAAGCCGGUCUCAGUUCGGAUUGGGGUCUGCAACUCGACCUCAUGAAGUCGGAGUCGCUAGUAAUCGCAGAUCAGCAACGCUGCGGUGAAUACGUUCCCGGGGCUUGUACACACCGCCCGUCAAGUCAUGAAAGUUGGUAACACCCGAAGCCGGUGGCCUAACCGUUGUGGGGGAGCCGUCGAAGGUGGGACUGGUGAUAGGA
rnacentral:rRNA from 1 species